rnacentral:tRNA from 1 species
ACUUUAAUAGCUUAAAUUUAAAGCAUAACAUUGAAGAUGUUAAUAUAAUAUUUAUAUUUUAAAGUA